CUUUGGGGUUGUAGGACUGGACAUUUGAGUUACCAAGAAACGAAGUAGUUGAAUGAUUUGGGAAGAUCAGCCAGAGAAGGUGAUAGCCCUGUAAGCGAAACUUCGUUUCCUCAGCCCAGUAUCCUGAGUACGGCGGAACACGUGAAACUCCGUCGGAAUCCGGGAGGACCAUCUCCCAAGGCUAAAUACUCCCUAGUGACCGAUAGUGAACCAGUACCGUGAGGGAAAGGUGAAAAGCACCCCGGGAGGGGAGUGAAAUAGUUCCUGAAACCAUGUGCCUACAAGUAGUCAGAGCCCGUUAAUGGGUGAUGGCGUGCCUUUUGUAGAAUGAACCGGCGAGUUACGUUAGCGUGCGAGGUUAAGGCGCAAAGGCCGGAGCCGUAGCGAAAGCGAGUCUGAAUAGGGCGAAUGAGUACGUUGACGUAGACCCGAAACCAGGUGACCUACCCAUGUCCAGGUUGAAGGUGCGGUAAGACGCACUGGAGGACCGAACCCGUGUAUGUUGAAAAAUGCUGGGAUGAGGUGUGGGUAGAGGUGAAAUUCCAAACGAACUUGGAGAUAGCUGGUUCUCUCCGAAAUAGCUUUAGGGCUAGCCUCGGAGUUAAGGAUCGUG
rnacentral:rRNA from 2 species